rnacentral:sRNA from 1 species
CUGCGCGACUGACCGCGAACGUGAAACGGCUGCGGAGAAUCGGCCGAUUUUCCGCAGUGGUUUC